AUGUGCUCUUGUGAGGAACACCAUAGCGGAUUUGUAUGGCUUGCAGUGCCAGAGAUACUGCUUUUGUCAGAUAUAUUGCACGGAGGGCUAAUCCAGCAGCACUUUGCUGUGCAUCUAUAUUCCAAGCAUACUCCGUGACAACAUAUGUAAAAAGAACAAGAUUUGAAAUGUAAUAGAUCACUUUUCCUGUGGCAAAUGAACAGAGGUAUAUGAUGCGGUCAA
rnacentral:misc_RNA from 1 species